rnacentral:lncRNA from 1 species
CUGGUGUCCGUGUAGUAUCACCACCUGAGCCUUCCCUAUCAGAUCCUGAGCCAUACCAUCAAAAUGACUCAAGUCCUUCAGCCUCUGUUUCACUUGGGAGACACUGUCUCCAGUGUCAGGCAGUUUUGCUUGUUGACCCAUUAAAAAUUCAAUGGCAUUCUUGACCUCUUGAAAACUCUGCUCAAACUUCCACAGUUGUAAAUACUGCUCCAUUUUCAACUGAUGCUUUUCCCAGAAGCCAUCAAAAGCAGUCUCCAUCUCCCGCA